rnacentral:rRNA from 1 species
CCUACGGGUGGCAGCAGUGAGGAAUAUUGGUCAAUGGACGAGAGUCUGAACCAGCCAAGUAGCGUGAAGGAUGACUGCCCUAUGGGUUGUAAACUUCUUUUAUAUGGGAAUAAAACGUUCCACGUGUGGGUUUUUGUAUGUACCAUAUGAAUAAGGAUCGGCUAACUCCGUGCCAGCAGCCGCGGUAAUACGGAGGAUCCGAGCGUUAUCCGGAUUUAUUGGGUUUAAAGGGAGCGUAGGUGGGUUGUUAAGUCAGUUGUGAAAGUUUGCGGCUCAACCGUAAAAUUGCAGUUGAAACUGGCAGUCUUGAGUACAGUAGAGGUGGGCGGAAUUCGUGGUGUAGCGGUGAAAUGCUUAGAUAUUAGGAGGAACACCAGUGGCGAAGGCGGCUUACUGGACUGUAACUGACACUGAGGCUCGAAAGUGUGGGUAUCAAACAGGAUUAGAUACCCUUGUAGUC